rnacentral:ncRNA from 1 species
CUGGGACUGAAGAAGGCCCCAAGGGUUUGGCUGUUCGCCAAUUAAAAGGGUACGCGAGCUGGGUUCAAACCGUCGUGAGACAGGUUGGUCCAUAUCUGGCGUGGGCGUUGAAUAUUUGAGAGGGGUUGUCCCUAGUACGAGAGGACCGGGACGAACAAACCUCUGGUGAACCAGCUGUUCUGCCAAGAGCAUCGCUGGAUAGCUAUGUUUGGUUCUGAUAAGCGCUGAAAGCAUAUAAGCGCGAAGCAGGCCUCAAGAUGAGAUAUUCUGGAUCCCUUGUAGACUACAAGGUUGAUAGGACUCAGGUGUAAGCACAGCGAUGUGUUCAGCCGAGAGUUACUAAUUGAUCCUCAUCCGUCUAAA